GACGAACGCUGGCGGCGUGCCUAAUACAUGCAAGUCGAGCGAAGUUUUUCUGGUGCUUGCACUAGAAAAACUUAGCGGCGAACGGGUGAGUAACACGUAAAGAACCUGCCUCAUAGACUGGGACAACUAUUGGAAACGAUAGCUAAUACCGGAUAACAGUAUUUCUCGCAUGAGAGAUAUUUAAAAGUUGGUUAUGCUAACACUAUGAGAUGGCUUUGCGGUGCAUUAGCUAGUUGGUGGGGUAAAGGCCCACCAAGGCGACGAUGCAUAGCCGACCUGAGAGGGUGAUCGGCCACACUGGGACUGAGACACGGCCCAGACUCCUACGGGAGGCAGCAGUAGGGAAUCUUCCGCAAUGGGCGAAAGCCUGACGGAGCAACGCCGCGUGAGUGAAGAAGGAUUUCGGUUCGUAAAGCUCUGUUGUUAGGGAAGAAUGGAUAUGUAGUAACUAUACAUGUAAGAGACGGUGCCUAACCAGAAAGCCACGGCUAACUACGUG
rnacentral:rRNA from 1 species